GUAGGGAAUAUUGGGCAAUGGAUGCAAGUCUGACCCAGCCAUCCCGCGUGCCGGAAGAAGGCCCUCAGGGUUGUAAACGGCUUUUGACGGUGAAGAAUCGACAGGAUGCGUCCUGUUUUGACGGUAGCCGUUGAAUAAGCACCGGCUAACUCCGUGCCAGCAGCCGCGGUAAUACGGAGGGUGCGAGCGUUGUCCGGAUUUAUUGGGUUUAAAGGGUGCGUAGGCUGGAAGGUCAGUCAGAGGUGAAAAGCUGUCGCUUAACGAUAGUCUUGCCGCAGAUACUUCCUUUCUUGGAUGAGGAGGAGGCCACUGGAACGGAUGGUGUAGCGGUGAAAUGCAUAGAUAUCAUCCAGAACACCGAUUGCGAAGGCAGGUGGCUGUACCUUAAUCGACGCUGAUGCACGAAAGCAUGGGGAGCAAACAGGAUUAGAAACCCCUGUAGUCC
rnacentral:rRNA from 1 species